rnacentral:lncRNA from 1 species
GAAUCUUAUGAGCGCAAACAGUGCAUUUGUUUUUGAAUUUAAUUAACUUCAAUCUAAUGCGCAGAUGUACAUGAUAGGUUAUAAAUUACCCUUUGUUAGGCAUUGGACCGUGACAUAUGUUGUUAACGUUACAGGCGAGAUGGACAUAGUAUAAACAGGCACUGCACAGUACUGCGACAUGUAGUUUAUAUUGGCUCCGAUAACAGGUAAGUUUUGAAACAAGUUAUUUUGAAAGUCGUAGGUACGUUGACCUGUAGUUACUAACUUCAUCCGCAUUUGGUUUCAUAUGAAAAUUUGUCUUACUGGCAUUCAAACUCCCCGGCAGUUCCAGCUCAGAUCCACAUACUGCUCUACACUAAUUGAUGGAGUAAAGGAAAAUAGUUCUGGAACGGAAACGAUCACUGUACGGAGUUUGGCUGAAAAUCGUACAACAUCAUAUUAUACUAAGCACUGAUAUGAAUAUCGAGUAGAUAAAAUAAGAUAUUAAAACAUAUACAUAGUUCAGAUAAGUCAUUCCGGAUUAUCAAAGAUUAAUAAUACAAAUCGACAAAGAAAUACUGAAAAUUAAUUAAUUUCGUCAUGAAUAUGAACUGAAAUAUUUCGCACUGAGCUAUAACCAAGCAAUGAUCAAUCUAGCAAUCUAUAUAUUAUAUAUACUGACUAGAAAAUGCACAUGUAUCAACUGGUUUUUCCGACUUGGAACAACGUAAUUUUAUGAAUUCUAUGAAGUUGGCUUAUAACACAGGUCGCAAUGUCCUUCUUACUUCCUUUGAAAUUAUGUAAUUCUACCUUUACGAAUAUUAAAGAAGUAAUUUGCUUAAUUUUGCUAUUUUUUUACCAUAAAAAUGGAACUUUGUUCUUAUAAAAAGUACAUUUGUUUUUGUUAUUUUUAGAAACAAAUAUGCAGUUCAAGCUUACAACAUUGGUGCUAUUCCAGCUGCUUUUAGUUUGCAGCACAUGUAAGUAAUAAUAAGUUUACUUGUUUUAACAAUUAUGACCUAUGUAAACAUUAGACCGUUGUUUUCUCGUUUGAAUGGUUUUACACUAGUAAUUUUGGGGCCCUUUAUAGCUUGCGUGUUGAAGGCCGUACAUUGACCUAUAAUUGUUUACUUUAACAAAUUGUUAUUUGGAUGGAGAGUUGUUUCAUUGGCACUCAUACCACAUCUUCCUAUAUCUAUAUACGUAAAUAUAUGUAACAAGAACCCAACGCGUAGUACUGUUUGUUCUGUUCAGACCAUUUAUGUACUUACAAAUGUUUGAUGUAUUAAGCAUUCUGAAUUUUUGGUCUAAUAAAUACCUGUUGAAUGUUUGCCUGGCGCCGUUCUGGUGUUUAAGCUAUUCCAUUGAAGUUACCAGCAAACUGUACUCCGGAAUAGGCAACUAUUCUCAAUUGUGACAGUUUACAUUUGUCUAUCCUUUAUAAGACACAGUUACAAAAUCUUAAUUUAACACGAUUAUUUAAUGAUCAAUACAAUUGUCUUUGAAAUUCGAGAAUAAUGAGUGUAACAAUAUGAAAAAAGUAAAAUAACAAACAUACCGAACUGCGGGGAAAUUCUAAACGGAAAGCUCAUAGCAAAAUGCAAAAUUUAAAGCUCAAACACAUUUUAAAAAAUAACGAAAUAAUAUACAGGAUAUCAAAAGAAAAAACUCCUCAAAAAGAUAAGAGGUUUAUAAUUUUGAAAUAAGCUUUGCUUUUCAUUUGGUAAUAUCUCUGUAUUUUUUAUGACAAUAAAAUUAAAAUCCAGGUAGUUGACAUUGCGAUUCGAAUAGGCAAAUUUGUUCCUACAUUGUGGUAUGAGUACCAAUGAGACAACUCUCCAUCCAAGUCACAAUUUUUAAAAGUAAACCAUUAUAGGACAAAGUACGGUUUUCAACACGGAGCCCUGGCUCACACCGCACAGCUAUAAAGGGACUCAAAAAAUUACUAGUGUAAAACCAUUCAAACGGGAAAAAAACAACGGUCUAAUCUAUAUAAUAAAAAAAAAAACGGGAAACGAGAAACACUUAUGAACCACAUCAACAAACGAAAACUACUAAACAUCAGAUUCCGGACUUAGGACAGGUACAAACGAUUGAACGGGGUUAAACGUUUAAAUGGUACCAAACCUUCAAACUUAUCUGAAAUAAUAGUGAAACUUCACAACAUAGAAAGAAACACUAUAAAAUGUCAAUUGAAAAGGCUUAAAUAUCAAUUGUUAAUGUCUGUGUCAUUUUGGUCUCUUGUGGACAGUUGUCUCAUUGGCAAUCAUACCACAUCUUCUUUUUUAUAUUAACUCAAUCAAAAGACAUAUUAACACAUUUGAACAUACACUGAACGUAUAAAUAUGAUCUAUGAUACAAUUUAAAUACAAAAUCAAUAAAAUAAGGGAUGAAUAAUUAGAGUAAAAGUAUUUUACACUGUGAAAUGUAAAACAAUUUCAUAAAAAACAACAGUAAACUUUAACCAAAAUUCGCCAUUUGCAAUAAUAUUAUACACAUGUAAUUGAAAAUAAUUUUGUUUUUAGGUAUACUGUUUGAAAGGAGAAAUGAAGUAUUUUUACAAAAUAAAUAGUUUUGAAAAAGAAGUGAAAAUUUAAAGUAAUAUCAAACACUUAUCAAAGCUGGUAUACAGACUAGAUAUAAUCCUGAAUAAAUAAACAUUAAAUAACAAAAAAGCAUUAAUAGAUAAAAAUGAACGUGGGUGUGGUUUAUACAUCCCGUUAGAAAAGAAUACAAAUUUAGUUAUGUUUUAAUUUGCUGACGACAAAAUCGAUAUAGUAUUGUUUAUAUAAAGAGUUCAUUUUGAUCGAAUGAACAAAUAUACGUUGACAACCAUCUGUGAAAUGCCAAAAUAACUUGUUCAACUGAAAUAUUUACAAGUAUAAGCAGAUACAUUUUUCUAUUUGGGUUAAUCUUCAAAUUAGCAGUUUGACGUAGACAUUAUAUGUUCAAUUCAAUUCAGUUUUAUUUAAAUUCGAUAUUUAAUAAACUAUAUAAAAACAAGCUUUGGUGAGUAAUUCAAAUUGACUAAAUUUCAAAAUGUGUACAAACAUUCCCAAGGUCGCUUUUUUAAAGACUAAAUCCAUUGGAUGUUGGAUGUGUACUGAUUGAUAAUUAAGUCUUAGAUCAAUGAUGUUUUUAUUAGUUGUUAUUGACUUUGAACUACCUGUCAGUAACUGUGAGUACUCUCAGAUCUAUAAUAAGUGUCUUUCUGUUGAUAGAUGUACAAGUACCCGGCCACGUCCAGUCUGUGUUUUGUAAGAUGUAUAUCUAUUUGUAUCUACCUGAUGAGAUAAGCUUUUUUCAACUGAUUGUUGUAGCUUGUUCUUAACUUCUUAUAUAGUUCUGUUACACCACUGUCACAGGUUAGGGGGAUCCCGUUAACAUGUUUAACCCCGCAACAUUAUGUAUGUAUGUGUCUAUCCCAAGUCUGGAGCCUUUAAUUCAGUCGUUUGUUGCUGUUUUACAUAUUUGUUUUUUGUUCAUUUUAUUGUACAUAAAUUAGGCCGUUAGUUGUCUCGUUUGAAUUGUUUUUACAUAUUUAUUUCGGGACUUUUUAUAAGUGAAUAAGUGGUAUGGGCUUUGCUCGAUGUACUGUUACCUAUUGUAGUUAAUUUUCUGUGUCAUUUUGGUCUAAUGUGAAGAGUUGUCUCAUUUGCAUUCAUACCAAUCAAUCUAUCCUCGCGAAUCGUUUUUAAUACCAGAUCAGAAAGGAUAGAGGAAUCCAACUACAAAAGGAUAGGUAACGACGACGGGUGAAACUACGUUAAAUGAGAUAGGUAUAAUGAGGUGGAGAGUCUAGUAAAAUGUUAGAAAUAGUAGUCGGAAAUCUAUUAAUACGGAUAACAGAAUAGGGGAGUAGCAUUGCUUGACCUUUCCUAUACUAGUAUAUGUUAAAAAUAUAAUACUCUUCAAAUUAUUGCUGCUGAAUUUGUUGGGAAAUCGCUUCUUGAUUUAGUUUACACUUCAUAUUUGAGUAGGUUAGUUACUUUUUGGUCUUUGGACAGGAUAGAAGGAUGUGGGUGUUAAUGAACUGAGUUUUUUCUAUGCACUCUAAAAAAAAUAUGAGUUGCAACAUCAUGUACAGACGGUAUUAUGCUGAUUUCGAACUUGUUCAAAAGUAAAAAAUUACAUCGGCAAAUUUUUCUUAGUGUGAUAUCUAACUGUGAGACUUUGUAAUACAAAACGGGCAAUUUAAAUCAUACAUCAGUCAAAAAAAAAAAUGAAUAAUGCGUUCAAAUGUAAAAAUAGCGAAAAUUAAAAAUCCCGAUUUUUCAAAACAUGAUUAUAUACAACCUGCACAAAACCAACUAAUGCUCUUAAAUAUGUCAGACUAGCCAGAAACGGAAGCAAUUAGUAUCUUGACUCAACAACCCUCUAUUACUGUCACUCAUCUAGGUCUGGAUUUAUUUAAAACAAUAUAAAUGUGCUUCCAUCUGGGAAUCAUUUGUCAUUUAUAUUUUAAAAAAUAGAUUCAAGUGAGGAUUAUGGUGUUUGUAAAGUGUAUGAUACUGAUGACAACCUUCCAGAAAUCGUUGAUGGACACAGACAAUGUAUAAAAUCUGAGAUGAGCACCUUCUGUAUUGAAUGAACCUGUCCAGACCCCGAAUGUGACAAUCCUACAAAACCAGAGACAGGAUGCCCCUUCUGUCAAGGUAUGUAUAGAAAAUCAUAAUGUAUCAUAUAUGCAUGCAAAAAUAAUGUUUCGACAGUACUAGAGACAUGUGUUCUAAAAAACUAGGUUAACAUAAUUUACCCCAAAAAAAUCAUUUCUUUCAGCUCAAUGCUUAUGCGAUUAUUCUUCCGUAUACAAGAAAGAAUAUGACAAUUGUCAUAUAAAAAUCCGACACAUAUGUCUUCCAAUCAAACGACGACGCCGCUGUAGACUAUGUAUUUAAUGCUUUAUAAACACAAAGGAAGAAGAGCUUCAUAACCCAAUUUUGUGUACAAAUUCCUUAUGAUUUGAAAUAUUUAAUUAGCAUUUUCCCCGUGCUCUAAAGGUUAACAAUGAUAGCUGGUCUGUUAAAUAUUGGGAAGGCGUAUAUGUCCAUCAGACAGAGUUUAACUGACUUUUACAGCAUUUCAUAAUUAUUGAUCAACAUAAACAUUUGUGAAUAAAUAGGUUGUAUAUACAUUUUUGUUAAGGGGCCAGCUGAAGUUCGUCUCCGGUGCGGUUGUUUCUAGCUUUAUUGAAGACCCAUCGUUGGCCUUCGGCUGAUUUUUGCUCUUUGUUCUGGUUGUUGUCUCUUUGACACAUUCCCAAUUUCCAUUUUCAAUUUUAUUAUAACAGUUGUUAUAAGUGUUAUAAUCUUUUUGUGGUAUAUAGAAGGAUUGCAAGGUGUAGAUGUCGGUCUGUCAAGAUUGUAAUGACCUUCAUUUCAUUGUAUGGUUCAUUGAACAACAGAGCGUUAAGCACUAUUUACUACAAGUAUAUUCAAUAGAUUCAUUGGUGUGUCCACAUUACCGUCUAAUAGGUUAUAUGUCAACUAUAUUCGAAAUUAAAGGCAUCGUAUGAUGUAUUAUAGUUCUGUCUGGCGCUGAUCACCUGACCUCACCUCAUUUUUAGAUACUACAUUGUACAUAUAUGUUGUCAUAUGUGAUAAUUAUCUUUUGUUUUAACUUUUCGCUUCAUAUAUAUAAGUUAUGGUAAAAGUGUUAGUGCUUAUCAUAUGUUUCCUUUUUUAGGAGACUGCAGUUAUGGCGGUAAAAUAUACAAAGAGAGAGAAUCCUUCCCAUGUGUGGACAACGUCAAUACCUGUCACUGUCUGGCAGGGGGUGUUAUUGGAUCAUCAUUAAUUGCAGUAAAUCCAGAAUAUAUGUGUACCGCAAAGUUAGAUAAAUUAUCAUAAGUUUUAUUGAACUUUUCUUGUUUAUUUCACAGAAAAAUAAAAA